UACCAGCUUUUUGAAAGGAAAAGGAGCAUUGCAACCAAUAAUAGCUUUGCGUCUUGCACUAGAUAUUGCAAGGUUUGUUACGGUAUUAUUUUAGUUUGGACUUGAUAAACUAUUGCUUUGCUUUGAUGGCUAUUUUCCCUUAUUUUU